rnacentral:rRNA from 1 species
UACAGAGGGUGCAAGCGUUGUCCGGAAUCACUGGGCGUAAAGGGCGCGUAGGCGGCCACCGCAAGUCAGUUGUGAAAUCUCUGGGCUUAACCCAGAAAGGUCAACUGAUACUGCGGGGCUAGAGUGCAGAAGGGGCAACUGGAAUUCUCGGUGUAGCGGUGAAAUGCGUAGAUAUCGAGAGGAACACCUGCGGCGAAGGCGGGUUGCUGGGCUGACACUGACGCUGAUGUGCGAAAGCUAGGGGAGCGAACGGG